AACGAACGCUGGCGGCAGGCUUAACACAUGCAAGUCGAACGGGUGUAGCAAUACAUCAGUGGCAGACGGGUGAGUAACACGUGGGAACCUUCCUAGAGGUACGGAACAACUCGGGGAAACUUGAGCUAAUACCGUAUAAGCUCUUGCGAGGAAAGAUUUAUCGCCUUUAGACGGGCCCGCGUAGGAUUAGGUAGUUGGUGGGGUAAUGGCCUACCAAGCCUACGAUACUUAGCUGAUCUGAGAGGAUGAUCAGCCACACUGGGACUGAGACACGGCCCAGACUCCUACGGGAGGCAGCAGUGGGGAAUCUUGGACAAUGGGCGCAAGCCUGAUCCAGCCAUGCCGCGUGAGUGAAGAAGGCCUUCGGGUUGUAAAGCUCUUUUACCAGGGACGAUAAUGACGGUACCUGGAGAAUAAGCCCCGGCAAACUUCGUGCCAGCCGCCGCAGUAA
rnacentral:rRNA from 1 species